rnacentral:rRNA from 1 species
AGUGAACGCUGGCGGUAGGCCUAACACAUGCAAGUCGAACGGUAGCACAGAGGAGCUUGCUCCUUGGGUGACGAGUGGCGGACGGGUGAGGAAUGCAUCGGAAUCUACUCUUUCGUGGGGGAUAACGUAGGGAAACUUACGCUAAUACCGCAUACGACCUACGGGUGAAAGCAGGGGACCUUUUAGGCCUUGCGCGAUUGAAUGAGCCGAUGUCCGAUUAGCUGGUUGGCGGGGUAAUGGCCCACCAAGGCGACGAUCGGUAGCUGGUCUGAGAGGAUGAUCAGCCACACUGGAACUGAGACACGGUCCAGACUCCUACGGGAGGCAGCAGUGGGGAAUAUUGGACAAUGGGCGCAAGCCUGAUCCAGCCAUACCGCGUGGGUGAAGAAGGCCUUCGGGUUGUAAAGCCCUUUUGUUGGGAAAGAAAAGCAGCCGGCUAAUACCCGGUUGUUCUGACGGUACCCAAAGAAUAAGCACCGGCUAACUUCGUGCCAGCCGCCGCGGUAA